UACAGAGGGUGCGAGCGUUAAUCGGAAUUACUGGGCGUAAAGCGUGCGUAGACGGUUAUUUAAGUCGGGUGUGAAAGCCCCGGGCUCAACCUGGGAAUUGCAUUCGAGACUGAAUAGCUAGGGUACGGUAGAGGGAAGUGGAAUUUCCGGUGUAGCGGUGAAAUGCGUAGAUAUCGGAAGGAACAUCAGUGGCGAAGGCGACUUCCUGGACCAGUACCGACGUUCAGGCACGAAAGCGUGGGGAGCAAACAGGA
rnacentral:rRNA from 1 species